UUAUGUUCGCAACCCAGCUGAG
rnacentral:piRNA from 1 species